GACGAACGCUGGCGGCGUGCUUAACACAUGCAAGUCGAGCGGUAAGGCCCUUUCGGGGGUACACGAGCGGCGAACGGGUGAGUAACACGUGGGUGACCUGCCCUCAGCUCUGGGAUAAGCCUGGGAAACUGGGUCUAAUACCGGAUAUGACUUCGCAUCGCAUGGUGUGGGGUGGAAAGUUUUUCGGCUGGGGAUGGGCCCGCGGCCUAUCAGCUUGUUGGUGGGGUGAUGGCCUACCAAGGCGACGACGGGUAGCCGGCCUGAGAGGGCGACCGGCCACACUGGGACUGAGACACGGCCCAGACUCCUACGGGAGGCAGCAGUGGGGAAUAUUGCGCAAUGGGCGGAAGCCUGACGCAGCGACGCCGCGUGGGGAUGACGGCCUCGGUU
rnacentral:rRNA from 1 species